rnacentral:snRNA from 1 species
AUUGCUUCUCGGCCUUUUGGCUAAGAUCAAGUGUAAAGUCAUAUUCCUAGAAAAUUAUUUUUUUAAGUAGAGCAAUAGCACAACAUAAGUUGCUUUUGCAUAUAUCAAAAAUGAACAAUUA